AAACUUUCAACAACGGAUCUCUUGGGUUCUCGCAUCGAUGAAGAACGCAGCGAAUUGCGAUACGUAAUAUGACUUGCAGACGUGAAUCAUUGAAUCUUUGAACGCACAUUGCGCCCCGGGGUAUUCCCCAGGGCAUGCGUGGGUGAGCGAUAU
rnacentral:rRNA from 1 species